rnacentral:rRNA from 1 species
GUGAGGAAUUUUCCGCAAUGGGCGAAAGCCUGACGGAGCAAUGCCGCGUGAAGGAUGAAGGCCUAUGGGUUGUAAACUUCUUUUCUCAGAAAAGAAUUAUGACGGUAUCUGAGGAAUAAGCAUCGGCUAACUCUGUGCCAGCAGACGCGUUAAGACAGAGGAUGCAAGCGUUAUCCGGAAUGAUUGGGCGUAAAGCGUCUGUAGGUUGUUUAAAAAGUAUUCUGUCAAAGAUUAGGGCUUAACCCUAGAUAGGCAGAAUAAACUUUUAAGCUAGAGUUUGGUAGAGGCAGAGGGAAUUCCCGGUGGAGCGGUGAAAUGCGUAGAUAUCGGGAGGAACACCAAAGGCGAAGGCACUCUGCUGGGCCAAUACUAACACUGAGAGACGAAAGCGAGGGGAGCAAAUGGGAUUAGAAACCCCUGUAGUCC